rnacentral:tRNA from 1 species
GCCUGAAUGGCUCAGUUGGUUGAGCAUUUGACUUUGGCUCAGGCCAUGAUCUCAUGGUUCAUGGGUUCAAGCCCCACGUCGGGCU